AAACAACCUAAAUGGCCAUCAACAGGAGCCUGGCUUAACAGGUGAAUUGCAUGCUCACACCACGGAAUACUGUGUGGUUCUCUGAAAGAAUGGGGUAUUCCAAGUCAUCAAGGCCUCUCCUGCAAAACCACUGCCACUGCUGCUAUGGUAUGCUUCUGCAUUUGGAAGGAAACUGCAAGCUUCUUCAAGACUUUUCUGGAACUGAGAACACCUGGCCAAACCUAGUAUGAAGGCUUUAGUGGUUUGGGAAAGCAUGUAUAGAUCAGGCUUAUGAAAAACAAUCUUCUCAUGUGCACUAUGUAUAACCCUGCCCCUAGUUUGUAAUUUGUCUCCUGCAAUCUAAAAGGGUUGUUCAGUACUUGGCAGAGGGGAGAAGUGUCCAGUCAGACACUUCAGGCAGGUCACCCCAGCUCCCUGAGUUCUAGUCUCUUUGUGAGCCGAUCAAAAGGACUGGACUAGAUCACUGUUAAAGUCCUUUCUGGAGUGUGGUACGAGAGACCUGAACUGCUGAAGCCCCAUACUUGUGACUUGCUAACUCCCUCUAGAGUCAUGUAUGCAUGACUUGGUAUAAAUCUUUCUCUCUGCAUACAUCCCUCUGCCCCAACUGCUAUGUGUGUGGGCUGGGGAGGGAUUACUUCUUUAACAAAGAUACUAUGAUUUGAAUGGUCAUAAACAAAAAGUAGUUUGUUAGACUUGAUCACUGAUAUCUUUCAGUAAGACCUAUUAUAAUUAUCUCAAAAUCUAUUUUUCAACCCAAAAUAAAACAACAAAAAAA
rnacentral:lncRNA from 10 species